rnacentral:rRNA from 1 species
UACGGAGGGGACUAGCGUUGUUCGGAAUUACUGGGCGUAAAGCGCACGUAGGCGGAUUUGUAAGUUAGGGGUGAAAUCCCGGGGCUCAACCUCGGAACUGCCUUUGAUACUGCAAAUCUCGAGUCCGGAAGAGGUGAGUGGAAUUCCUAGUGUAGAGGUGAAAUUCGUAGAUAUUAGGAAGAACACCAGUGGCGAAGGCGGCUCACUGGUCCGGUACUGACGCUGAGGUGCGAAAGCGUGGGGAGCAAACAGG